AUCCAGACCAGUGAGGGGCUAUAUGUCACCCCUGCACUACAAACUCUAGUACUUCACGAUAGCUUUGCUGCUGUAGCUCCCUCGUGGGCCACUCACAAACAGCCUUCCAGCCUGCAGGUAACACCCUGAGUGUACGGCUUCAGCCUGCUAACCACACACCAGUCACACACACUCUGGCUUCCACCAGCCUUGAUUACCACUUGCAGGGUGACCCUAACGCACUCCCAGUCCCAGAUUUUCCCCCAAAACAUGUGUUCUGGACAGUCCAGAUAUAAUAAGUCUGUUGCCCCUUAUAGGGAUCAAUAUACAACAGUCUGCUACCCUAAAUGGAGUUACCUAUACAUUUCACAUCACUGGAUUAAUUUUGAUUAAAGAAUAAAACAAGUUUGUUUAAUUACAAGGAGAGAGAUUUUAAGCGAGUACAAAUAUAAGGCAUUAAAGUCAGAAAUGGUUAAAAGAGAAAUAAAGAUAAAAUGCUUUCUAGUAACUAAAACUUAACAAACUAGACUUGGUUCAAGGUGAAGUCUCUUACCACAUGUUCCCAAUAACACUGCUGACCAAAUUUUCAGGCCAAGAUCUGCUCCCAAAGUCAAAUAGGCUGAUUUCUUUUGGCUUCUUAGGAGGUAAGUUCCAGCUACAACAUUUGGAUCCAAAUGUCAACCUCCUUCCCACCCCCAAAGUAAGUAGGUGCUUGGAACUAGCUUUUAUUUCAGUCAGUCUCCAAUAAAAUCAUCAUGAAAUACCUGCAAAGAUUAUUUCCCAGAAAAACAUCCCCCACAACAGCCUUUGCAUAUUUAAAGUACAAUUAAUGAUCAUUAUUACUUUACAGCAUUGAAAAGUGUGUUAAACAUUUCUCAGAAGUCACAGAAAGACAUUGUCCCUACCUCAAACCUAAAUUUUAUAUGGGAUGAAAUGAGUGUGACUAACAGUAGGAGGAGGAAGGAGUGAGGAAAGAUGAGGGUUAUAGCAAAAUUACCUUGUGGUUAAUCAAUUUAGGAACAUGCACAGGAGGUGGUACAGUUAAAAAUGUAAGAAGUAUAAAAAAAUAAAGAUUUAAAAUAGUGAAUAUCACUGAUUGUUAUUUUAUUAUUAUUAUCUAUAUUAACAUAGUUUCUAGGCACUCUGAUCAUGGACCAGGAGAGCUAGGUGCUGUACAAACACAGAACCAAAAUAUAGUCGCUACCCCAGAGAGCUACCAAAUGCAAAUUUCAAAGUGUAUAACAAACCUGUAGGUGCUACCACAAUAGAGACAUUAAAAUAAAUAAAAUAGCAAUAGUAACAACAGGAUUUUACACUCACCUAUACAAUUUGUAAUUCUCCUUGUAUGGCUAGCAACGUAAGUUCAUCCGGAUGAGAAACAAAGCCAAAACAAAGCCAACUUUGGUCUACUUUUUAAAAAUUUUUCCUCUUGAAUCUCAGAAAAUGCUCUGCAUCACCACACUGAAGGCUGUCAAACAGUACAGCCACCCAACAGUAACUAAGCCAGUGCAACCAAUAGCAACUCUACAUAUGAUGUGAGCAUGUGCAGGUCAUCCUGCCCCUCCCUAGACUCUGUCAACCCAAUCCUUUCUAAGUAGGCACAGGAUUGAAUUGUGCAAGCAAUGCAUUCUCAUCUCAAAGGGCAGGAUCCUUAUACUCUGGCCAGCUAACAAAAGGUUGCAGAGAGGCAGAGGGAAGGGGCGGGCAGUGAGCAUAGGCAUACACCCACAUCAAUUGCAGUAGUGCCGAUCUACCAGUAAAUAUAGACACGCCCUAAAGAUUCCUGUAUUAAUGUGGAAUUUAAGCCAAAUAACAGUAACAACAAAUGGAAAGUAACUAAUGACUAUUGUCUCCUUUAAAAUAAGAAAGCUCAGACAUAGAGACUCUGAUUUGGAACAAACAUUAACUUUAUGUUUCACAUUAAUUACGCAAAUGUCUAUAGAUUUCAGGAUAGACUUAGGGCUUGUCUAGAUGAAAGUUAGUGCACGCAAGCUGGGUUGUAAAUCCGCCUCACUAGCCUGCCACCCACUGUCUGUGUGGAGUGUGCUGCUACACACUAAAAGUUUCCUAGUGCACUUUGAUCCACCCACUUCAAAAUAGAAAUAGAUAAAAUCACAGUAGGGAACUUUUAGUACAUGGCAGCAGGGUCCACCCAGACAGUAAGUGUGAUGUAGAUUUACACCCCAGCUUGCCAUGCACUAACUGUUCAUCUAAACCAGCCCUUAGGGUAAAGGGGGCUCGGGGUGGCAUAAUAUUCUCAGAUCAUCUAUAUAUUGCAUGUGGAAGGCAUUGUGGUUGAAACCAUUCCUAUCAAUACCUGGAUGUCACUUUAUCCUUUCUGUAAGAGGCUUCAUAAUUGGCUCAAUGACAUAAUUGUCUUCCUCUGCCAAGCAAAGUGAUAGCCCAACAUCAUGUAUCAUUUUGGGGGCUCAUCUGAACAUCCAACAUGUCACUUUAACUCCCUUUUACCUUCCAAGACUGCACCUGGUUCUAGAGGCCUGAAGGUUUCUCCUUUCUAAGGAGUCUUCCAAAGUUGUUCCAAGCACUGGCCAGAAGAGAUCUCUAGAAAGUGUCCUCUCUUCCCCAAAAGUUCCCAGUCCCUGCGAAAGAUCCAUUUGUAUUAAAUCCUUGAAUCCCUGUUAUGACUCAUCUCACAAAGCUCCCCUUUAAAGCAAAUGGAUUUAAGACUUAAAAGUUCUUCUAUCUAGUAAGACGAAAAGGCUUCCUUACUUUAAGCAGGAGCAAAAUGUAUGAAUGAGAGUACACAUACUGUACUGUAAAUUAUAAUCAAUUCUGCCUGAUUUAGGAUUAGCAAUGUAUGGCAAGGCUCUGCCCCCAGUCUCCUAGACAAACUAUAAAUAACAUCCUACAGUCAAGGUAUUUGUGAAGGAAAUACAGUUUAUUACUGUCAUGAGACUAAGCCCCUUCUUUGCUUAUAGAUCAAAGACAGUGUCACUGUCUUCAAAGGCUGGCGGAAGAUGCCUUUAGUAAGGAAAUCCACACACAUCCCCAUGCCCAAACAUAUGUCAAAGGGAGAGUGUUUCAACUUGUUACCUAAAUGACUUGAAACAAAUCAGAUGUGAAACCAUAUGAGCCUGCGGCUUUUUGAGACUGUAAACUUUUUUAUUACAGAUAAAGCUAAUGGCCUAUGCAAUGACUCAGCCUUCUGCUCAGGAGUUGCAUAAGGUUAACCAAGGAAAUUUGAAGUUGAUAUGGAAGAGUGCAACAGGGAAUGUUAGCACUAGACUAUAUGAACUGAUUACAUUGUUCCAAGAACCUACUGUAUUUAACGCAUUUGACAGAUACCACAUCAGCAGCCCAAACUUUGCCCAAUUGAGGGCCAUACUGUCAACUAGCCAGGAGCCUAAGGCAAUACCUAAUCUGCAUAAAAUCUAAUACACAGCGGCCACUCAUCUCUAAUGCAGAUUACAGGUCCCAGAAUGCAUGUUACAUCUUGAGCCAAGCACUCCAUCCAUUCAAUUUAAGAUGGAUCAUUGCACAUUCCCAAGGCUGCUCCUACAUAUUAAAAAGUAAAAUCACUAGCCACUUGGCAGAACACCAGGGGAUGUAGUUUGGCUGAAGUACUACGUACUGGACACGGUGCUAAUAUAGUGUCCAUCAUUGCAGUAUCUAAGUGCUGUUAUCUCUAAUGGCAGGCUCCCCUAUAUUUCUGCCUCAAUUCUGUUCUGAAGGUACCACAUUCGAGGUGAGAGGGUCACUCAGUUUCCACAAUCCAUCCAGUCUUUGCCAUCACCUGUGGUGCCACUUAAGGCAUUUUUGUGAUGUGAUGUGGGCACUCUGCAAUUGAUUUUUUUAUUAUUUAGUAGUAGUAUUUUUAAGACAGGCCCAGAUCCUUAGUGGAUGUAAAUUGAUAUAGAUACAUUGACCUCAAAUGAGCUACAAUGAUUUAUAGCAGCUAAGGUUCAGGCCCUUUAUCUUUAUCUUAGAAUUUUUUGCUUUCAAACAUUUUUCUAAAGUAACUACAACAUUCUAUGAUAAUAUAGGUCUUUUCCUAAUCUGCCUUUUAUCUCUGAUUAAUCUGUAAUUAUAAAUUUAGCUCUAUCAUAACAAAGUUUUUCUCUGGAAAUUAUACUUGCAACAUUACCUAGGUAGGUGCGUUUACUAUAAUCACUCUCAUUGUUCAUCUUUUUUUUCCCAAAAUACACUCUAGGAAGAAGCAUUAGUUCUGGAGGGAGUUGCAAUAUAUAUUCCUGAAGCUGCAAUUCACUGCUGGAUGCAGAACAGGGGAGGGCAGAAAGGGCAAUGUUUGCUGGAGUUUCUUAUUGCUUUCCACUGCAAAAAUGUUAUUUCUAACAGUAAAGCUACAUGCCUGAUACUUGUUACUUUAAUCUGUUCUUAGAAACAACCCUUUUUCUUUUUAAAGUUUACUUUUUACUGACUUUUUCAAAUGACAUGGUUUUGGUCACUAUAGCUUUUCAUUCUUGUUGCUGUUCUGAAGGUCCAGAAAGAACAAUUGCAGCAGAAAUGUUCUGUAAGGAAACACGACUUCCCUCUACAGUAAAGUUCUUCAGUUGAGAACCAUCACUCUUACUGAGGCUAUUGUAAAAUACAAAAUAUAAAGUUCCCUGUGCUGAAAAUUUCAAGUUUCCUGCAUUUUUAUAACCACUUCAGCCAUGCCAAAACACCUAGGGAGUGAAUCAUUUUGAAUUUGCUGAACCCAAAAUAUGAGACAAUAAUGCUAUUCUUGAAACUUCCUCUGCUGGACCCUGAUGUUCAUGCUCAGAUGAUGUAGCUCCCAAGUGACUUUGUAUGUGUGACACUGUAUCACAGUUUUGAACAGCUCUAUUUGGUGCCCUACAACUUUCAUGGUAGCUGGAAUGCAGACAGAAAAAGCAUGAAAAAUGUAUUUCCACUAGGAAAGUAUAUUCAGAUUUUUAAUAAGAAUUAUCUGGCCCACUGUGUAAAAUGAUAUUUAGGACAGUAGAAAAAAGUAUUUGCAGUAUCAAAUGUCAUAAACAGAAUGGAAGGCCCGAGGUGGAGCUAAUGUGGAGUUCAACAUGGCUCAUGCCAAUUCUGUUUUAAAAAAUAAAAUUUGUCCACUGUCGUAUGGUAUUGCUGAGAUGCAUAUUUGUUGAAACAGAAGUUGUUAGGCUCAGCAUAAUUUCAUGUGAGUGGUGAAGGUGUGUAAUAUGACAGCCCAACUCCCUAGUUCACAUGGCUAAACCUGCACCUACAUUACUGCAAAGAUAAUACAUCGAACAGGAUGUCUUGGUCAAAAUAUCAGAUCCCCUGGCUUUCCAAAGAUUACUAUAAGGUCAUAUUAAAUCCGUGUAAAUUAUAUGUAAAAUUUAAACAAAUACCACGAGGAAUUGUUUGAGAGGCAAUAAAAGCAAAUAAAAAUUAACAGCAACCUAUUGCAACAGGGAGCAGAGUGGAAAUCUUCACUUUGUGCCAACAGCUCUGGAAGUAUCUCUGAGCUAGACUUACGGCUUAAGCUGUGUAUCACAUUGGAACCACACUCCAAUACAUUCAACAUGGAAGUUAUACAUAAGAAAAUAUGCACUGUAAAUAUUUGAGGAAGCACAAAAAUGCAAGUCUUGGAAGCAAACUAAAUAAGUUGCUUGGGGAAAUAGCACCCUGCAACCUAUCUUGUUCUGGCAAAAGAACAAUGUUUCAUAAAAUGCGAUCAGUAAACUUAUGGAUUUGACUGUACCUCUAAAUACAGAUGGGUCUGAACACUACCAAAGAGGGGUGUCUGAAAAUCCAGCUCCUAACUUUCCUAAAGGUCAGGAUGUUUCGAUUCAAACCAACAGAGAAAGGAUCUCAACUGCAUCUGGAUGCAGGGCUUUGAUUUGGGCCUAUUAUCUCAAUAUAUAGUAUUAUAUUAUAACUGAAGAAGCUUUGUGAACAAAUUCUCUUUUUCUUAAUGUUAUGAACUAAAGUGGGUGGGGAAUGGCUUAAUGGACAAAUAUAUCUUGCUUCUAUAGAGCCAUCCACAGUCUUAAAUCCCAGAAUCACUGCCACAGACCAUCAUCCCACCUGAGUAGAUAAACUGCGCUCCAUGUUGCUUAUUGUGUGUGGGAUCUUUCUGAGGAGACCUUAAAAACCAAGGUCCUGUCAGCUCUGUGCUGAUGAAAAGGAUCCUGUGAUGGCUGUGAGGAGACUGGCACAGAGCUGGUAAUGCUAGCCCUAUGAUACCCUGAAGAUUUCACUACAGGAAGCCAGCUUUGUCUGCUUUACACUGCUAGAGCAAUGGAAACAGACUUAUUGGUGGCCAGAAUCUCGUUUGCCCAUGGUGACAUUCUCUGCCAGUUCUAUGAAGCAAGGAGGAUAUUCAUGUGUUGAAAAUCAUCAGUUAGCUAGAACAUAAAAUCAAUGUAUUUAAAUGUGUUUAGUGUGUUUUUAAAAGCAAGUUUCUUGGAAGACUGCUAUUUAUAUACACCAGUAGAGAUCUAAUGAUGUAUUUAUACUUCUUGGAGUUUUUUUCUUAAAUUUUUCUGCCACUGUAUCAAGGUUCUGAAUGGUCACUUGUUCUCUGAUGUGUAAUUUUCUAGAGCCUUAUGUCAUCAAGUUUUAGACAGGCUAAAGAUCAGAGGUUUUGAUUUCCAUUCAUCUCUACUUAACUGAAAUGAAGCCACAUCUGAAGAAUGUAUCUGAUUCUGCAAGCCAUAAAUAUAUAUGUUUUUGAUACUGGAUAAUUAA